AACGAACGCUGGCGGCGCGCCUAACACAUGCAAGUCGAACGGGGUGUCGUUCUUCGGAGUGGCACCUAGUGGCGGACGGGUGAGUAACGCGUGGGAACCUGCCUUGGGCACCGGGACAACCGCGGGAAACUGCGGCUAAUACCGGAUGAUCCCCUGGAUCGAAGGUGAAGGGGGCAAAGACUCAUCGUAAGAUGGGGGCGGCCUGGGAUGGGCCCGCGUCCGAUUAGGUAGUUGGUGGGGUAACGGCCCACCAAGCCUGCGAUCGGUAGCUGGUCUGAGAGGAUGAUCAGCCACACUGGGACUGAGACACGGCCCAGACUCCUACGGGUGGCUG
rnacentral:rRNA from 1 species